GACGUAGGGCGCGAGCGUUGUCCGGAUUUAUUGGGCGUAAAGAGCUCGUAGGCGGCUUGUCGCGUCGUCCGUGAAAACCUGCAGCUCAACUGCAGGCUUGCGGUCGAUACGGGCAGGCUCGAGUUCGGUAGGGGAGACUGGAAUUCCUGGUGUAGCGGUGAAAUGCGCAGAUAUCAGGAGGAACACCUGUGGCGAAAGCGAGUUACUGGUUCAUUACUGACACUGAGGAACGAAAGCUAGGGUAGCAAAAGGG
rnacentral:rRNA from 1 species